CCCUUAGAUGUUCUGGGCCGCACGCGCGCUACACUGAUGCAUGCAACAAGUCUUUUCCUUGGCCGAGAGGCCUGGGCAAUCUUUGAAUAUGCAUCGUGAUGGGGAUAGACGAUUGCAAUUAUUCGUCUUCAACGAGGAAUUCCUAGUAAACGCAAGUCAUCAGCUUGCAUUGAUUACGUCCCUGCCCUUUGUACACACCGCCCGUCGCACCUACCGAUUGAAUGGUCCGGUGAAAUCCUCGGAUCGAGCCGUGGGGCAACUCCGGUUCGAGAAGUUGAUUAAACCUUACCAUUUAGAGGAAGGUGAAGUCGUAACA
rnacentral:rRNA from 1 species